rnacentral:rRNA from 1 species
UGAGGAAUUUUGCGCAAUGGGGGAAACCCUGACGCAGCAACGCCGCGUGAGUGAAGAAGGCCUUCGGGUUGUAAAGCUCUGUCGAGUGGGAAGAAUCUUUUUCGGCCGAAUAAGUCGAAAAAUUGACGGUACCGCUGAAGGAAGCACCGGCUAACUCCGUGCCAGCAGCCGCGGUAAUACGGAGGGUGCAAGCGUUAUUCGGAUUUAUUGGGCGUAAAGGGCGUGUAGGUGGUCUGAUAAGUCAGGUGUGAAAGCCCCUGGCUCAACCAGGGAAGUGCACUUGAAACUAUCAGACUUGAGUACGGGAGGGGGAAGUGGAAUUCCUGGUGUAGAGGUGAAAUUCGUAGAUAUCAGGAGGAAUACCGGUGGCGAAGGCGACUUCCUGGACCGAUACUGACACUGAGACGCGAAAGCGUGGGGAGCAAACAGG